GACAGAGGUGCCGAGCGUUAGGCGGAAUCACUGGGCUUAAAGCGUGUGUAGGUGGAUGUCUAAGUACCUUGUGAAAUCCCACGGCUUAACCGUGGAACGGGCUCGGUAUACUGGAUGUCUUGAGCCAGGCUAGGGGCUACCGGGAACAAAUGGUGGAGCGGUGAAAUGCGUAGAUAUCAUUGGAACGCCAAUGGUGAAAACAGGUAGCUGGGGGCUGUGCUG
rnacentral:rRNA from 1 species